CAGUCGCCGCGGGAAUACGUAGGGUGCAAGCGUUAAUCGGAAUUACUGGGCGUAAAGCGUACGCAGGCGGUCCGCUAAGACAGAUGUGAAAUCCCCGGGCUUAACCUGGGAACUGCAUUUGUGACUGGCGGGCUAGAGUAUGGCAGAGGGGGGUAGAAUUCCACGUGUAGCAGUGAAAUGCGUAGAGAUGUGGAGGAAUACCGAUGGCGAAGGCAGCCCCCUGGGCCAAUACUGACGCUCAUGCACGAAAGCGUGGGGAGCAAACAGGAUUAGAGACCCGAGUAGUCCCUGUCUCUUAUAC
rnacentral:rRNA from 1 species